AGGAAAGAAAACUGGCUCAGAGAGGCUGAGUAACCUGCUCAAGAUGACACAGCUUGUGGGUGGCUGAGUUGGCCUUCCAACCCAGAUUCCUGUCAUGUUCCUCAAGCCGACAGGUUCAGCUUGGUUGUGACCUCUGCUAGAAGCCCUCCCUGGCCUCCCUGUGCACUGAGCUGGUGGUUCCUCCUUUGCGCCCCAGGUACAUGCUCAGAUCUGUGUACCCUACACUUUGUCCUCCAGCUUCGUGUUUGGAUGUUCACAACUCCCAUGAGAAGGGCCCCCGAGAGCUGGCACAGUGCAUGUGUUUCCUCUCCAGACUUCUACAAACCUGGCACAUAAUUGUUUGCUGAAAGAUGGCAUGUUCCUAAAACAGAGGAAGUAGAACCGAAUAAAGCGAAAUCCAACUUCCCACUCCCUGC
rnacentral:lncRNA from 1 species